rnacentral:snRNA from 1 species
AAACUUGGCUUAAAGUACUUAAACUAUCCCAAAGCAAGGCUUAUCCAUUGCACCCCAGAUGUGCUGACCUCUGUAAUUUCCCAAAAUGUGGGAAACUUGACUGCAUAAUUUGUGGAGGAUUUCAC